GACGAAGGGGGCUAGCGUUGUUCGGAAUUACUGGGCGUAAAGCGCACGUAGGCGGCUUUUCAAGUCAGAUGUGAAAGCCCCGGGCUUAACCCGGGAACAGCAUUUGAUACUGUCGAGCUUGAGACCGGGAGAGGAUAGCGGAAUUCCCAGUGUAGAGGUGAAAUUCGUAGAUAUUGGGAAGAACACCAGUGGCGAAGGCGGCUAUCUGGACCGGUACUGACGCUGAGGUGCGAAAGCGUGGGGAGCAAACAGG
rnacentral:rRNA from 1 species